rnacentral:ncRNA from 1 species
CCUGUGGUUUUCAUCACCGGCGAUUAAAAGGGAAUCGGGUGCAAAUCCCGGACAGUCCCGCUGCUGUAAGGUUUCACGUCAAACAUUUCAACGUACACCCUCUGCCACUGAUUAUUUUCCGCUAUAUAAGGGAAAGGUCGGGAAGGCGGUUUGAAAUGGAAACCGAGUCAGAAUACCUGCCAUUCAUUGUU